ensembl:ncRNA lncRNA:CR45113 long non-coding RNA:CR45113
CAAACACCUGCUGCUCGAUUCUGGCAGCGGGAUUUUUGCAUUAACAUUCCGAUGGCUCACAUGGCUGGAGCGUUUGGCCUGAGGGACGAUUCGCUAUAAUCGCUAUGUGCUGCACUGGAAUACCAAAAGGAUGCAGCACCACCCACCCGCUAACCUGAACCACUACGCCGUUGCCACUGCCUCAAUUACAAGCUGCUCCUGACAGCCAGCGCUACGUGACACAACCCACAAGGAGACGAAACACCUGUUGCAUUGGCUACUGGUAGGAGCACCACCUAGCCACCACCGACCCAUGCUGAUGUCCGUUAAUCGAACACCGCACCGCAUAACUUGUUGGCGCUGACAACGAAAACGGGAUUUUGAACACUGAUAAAAGGCGACGGCUGGGUGGGUUGUGGGUGAUGGUUUGGGUGGUGGUGUGGUGCGGUGGAGCUGGGAAAUCAAGAAAAACCAUAUUUAAUAAAAUGACAGGGGCUGUCAGACGCCGUCAAAAG